UCAACAAAUUCUUAGCUGUAUAAGCUUGAGCAAAUUCUUUAAGCUCUCUGAGGUUUUGUUUUUGUUUUCCCAUAGAAACCAUCCCUUCAGAAGACUGCUGUGAGGAUUACAUGAGAUAUGUAUGCAAACACCUGGCAUAUAGAAAGUGCCCAACUGCUAUGAGGGGGUAAGAACAAUGGAAGAAGACGUCAUAAGACAGCAGACAUUUAAGGCAGCAUUAAACAAUGAGCAGAUUUCUCUGAUUCUCAUCAUAUGUGGAAGAAGAAUAAUCUCCAAAAGUUAUUGAGUAUUAAGAAAAAAAUAAGAAGGAUAAUAACAAUAGCAGUGGAGAGACCCACCCAUCCACUGCCUCCAGAACGACAUCCUAAUUAGUCUAAGCCAGGAGUCGGCACUCUAAAGCCCAUGGACAAAGCAUAGCCAGCCACUGCUGCCUGUAAGCUAAGAC
rnacentral:lncRNA from 1 species